rnacentral:tRNA from 1 species
UCUAAAAUGGCAGAAGUUAAUGCAAUGGAUUUAAGCUCCAUAGAUGGGAAUCCCUUUUAGAA